rnacentral:misc_RNA from 1 species
GCAUCCCUUUUGAAAUUUUUAUCAUCGUUUCUAGACAGUAACAGAAAGGUUUCUGCGAAGUUACAACAAAAUGUAGUGUCCACGAGCAGCGAUAUAGACAUUUGAAGAAGUAGUAUAUAGGCAUUGUCUUAGAGAAAAAAAAAUAAAAAAAAAAAUAGAAGGGAUUGAGUAUCCCUUUUGAAAUUUUUAUCAUCGUUUCUAGAUAGGAAUAGAAAGGUUUCUACGAAGUUACAACAAAAUGUAGUGUCCACGAGCAGAGAUAUAGACAUUUAAAGAAGUAGUAUAUAGGCAUUGUCUUAGCGAAAAAAAAAAAUAAAAAAAAUAGAAGGGAUUGAGUGAAAUUUUUAGCAUCGUUUCUUCAUCUAUAGACAUUUGAAGAAGUAGUAUAUAGGCAUUGUCUUAGAAAAAAAAAUAAAAAAAAAAUAGAAGGGAUUGAGUAUCCCUUUUGAAAUUUUUAUCAUCAUUUCUAGACAGUAAUAGAAAGGUUUCUACGAAGUAACAACAAAAUGUAGUGUCCACGAGCAGAGAUAUAGACAUUUGAAGAAGUAGUAUAUAGGCAUUGUCUUAGAGAAAAAAAAAAAUAUAAAAAAAAUAGAAGGGAUUGAGUAUCCCUUUUGAAAUUUUUAUCAUCGUUUCUAGACAGUAAUAGAAAGGUUUCUACGAAGUUACAACAAAAUGUAGUGUCCACGAGCAGAGAUAUAGACAUUUGAAGAAAUGGUACAUAGGCGUUGUCUUAGAGAAAAAAAAAUUAAAAAAAAUAGAAGGGGUUGAGUAUCCCUUUUGAAAUUUUUAUCAUCGUUUCUUGAUAGUAAUAUAAAGGUUUCUACGAAGUUACAGCAAAAUGUAGUGUCCACGAGCAGAGAUAUAGACAUUUGAAGAAGUAGUAUAUAGGCAUUGUCUUAGAGAAAAGAAAAUAAAAAAAAAUAGAAGGGAUUGAGUAUACCUUUUGAAAUUUUUAUCAUCGUUUCUAGACAGUAAUAGAAAGGUUUCUACGAAGUUACAACAAAAUGUAGUGUCCACGAGCAGAGAUAUAGACAUUUAAAGAAGUAGUAUAUAGGCAUUGUCUUAGCGAAAAAAAAAAAAAAAAAAAAAAAAUAGAAGGGAUUGAGUAUCCCUUUUGAAAUUUUUAGCAUCGUUUCUAGACAGUAAUAGAAAGGUUUCUACGAAGUUACAACAAAAUGUAGUGUCCACGAGCAGAGAUAUAGACAUUUGAAGAAAUGGUACAUAGGCGUUGUCUUAGAGAAAAAAAAAUAUAAAAAAAAUAGAAGGGAUUGAGUAUCCCUUUUGAAAUUUUUAUCAUCGUUUCUAGACAGGAAUAGAAAGGUUUCUACGAAGUUACAACAAAAUGUAGUGUCCACGAGCAGAGAUAUAGACAUUUAAAGAAGUAGUAUAUAGGCAAUGUCUUAGCGAAAAAAAAAAAAAAAAAAAAUAGAAGGGAUUGAGUAUCCCUUUUGAAAUUUUUAUCAUCGUUUCUAGACAGUAAUAGAAAGGUUUCUGCGAAGUUACAACAAAAUGUAGUGUCCACGAGCAGAGAUAUAGACAUUUGAAGAAGUAGUAUAUAGGCAUUAUCUUAGAGAAAAAAAAAAUAAAAAAAAAUAGAAGGGAUUGAGUAUCCCUUUUGAAAUUUUUAUCAUCAUUUCUAGACAGUAAUAGAAAGGUUUCUACGAAGUUACAACAAAAUGUAGUGUUCACGAGCAGAGAUAUAGACAUUUGAAGAAGUAGUAUAUAGGCAUUGUCUUAGAGAAAAAAAAUAAAAAAAAAAAUAGAAGGGAUUGAGUAUCCCUUUUGAAAUUUUUAUCAUCGUUUCUACAUAGUAAUAUAAAGGUUUCUACGAAGUUACAACAAAAUGUAGUGUCCACGAGCAGAGAUAUAGACAUUUGAAGAAGUAGUAUAUAGGCAUUGUCUUAGCGAAAAAAAAAUAAAAAAAAAUAGAAGGGAUUGAGUAUCCCUUUUGAAAUUUUUAUCAUCGUUUCUAGGCAGUAAUAGAAAGGUUUCUACGAAGUUACAACAAAAUGUAGUGUCCACGAGCAGAGAUAUAGACAUUUGAAGAAGUAGUAUAUAGGCAUUGUCUUAGAGAAAAAAAAAUAAAAAAAAAAUAGAAGGGAUUGAGUAUCCCUUUUGAAAUUUUUAUCAUCGUUUCUAGAUAGUAAUAUAAAGGUUUCUACGAAGGUACAACAAAAUGUAGUGUCCACGAGCAGAGAUAUAGACAUUUGAAGAAAUGGUACAUAGGCGUUGUCUUAGAGAAAAAAAUAAAAUAAAAAAUAAAUAGAAGGGGUUGAGUAUCCGCUUUGAAAAUUGUCUUAUCUUUUCUUGAUAGUAAAGAAAAGGUUUCUGCAAAGUUACAACAAAAUGCAGUGUCUAUGAGCCGAGAUAUGAUAACUUUAAUAAAUUUUAUUUAAUCGUCUGCUUAGAAAAAAUCCCAAAAUAAAAAAAAAUUAAAGUA